GUCUGGCCACCACCAAACGCCCAUUUUCACAAUGUGGAGAAGUGCAUGCUGGGAAAGGACUUUCAUGCACUUGUGCAGCUGUUGCACACUAAAGGAUCAGGGAUGCAGAUUGAGGCCUUAUCCAGGGGAAUUAACAACCUCACAUACUUACUCAGCCGAGACGAGCUGCUGAGAGGAAUGAGACGCAGCCAGACCGCCAUAGUGUGAUCCACCGUCCCUCCGAGAGCGUACCUCAACCUAACCCACCUCACCCUCAAAGCUUCAGGACCUGAACUGUGUAACACAAUCCUACCUAAUCCAGCUCAAGAACACAGCUCUACUAUUCCUGUUAUUGUAUUACUAAUUAUUUUUGAUGUGUUUUGAGGUUAUGGUGUACUGUUUGGCAAUCAGAUCUGUGUUCGAGAGAGCGAAGAAAAAAAAAAAAAAGAUUUUGUGUAAUAUGUGGACAGCACUUUUCAAACCUACAAAAGCCUUUCUGUCAAUAGUUGAAAUCAUCUACCUCAACCAUUGUGUUUUUCUUAAAAUAUUGCAUUCAUGUAGCCAAUGGAACUGGAUGUGAGUAGCCUAAAUCCUUUGUUUGCCCAACACUUUGUCAUUUUCUUAGGCUGUUUUACUUAAUCUUUUUUUAAACUAUGUAAUAUGUUAAAAGCAGUUUGUUUUUUGAGAAGGUAUGGUUGUUUGCUUGAUAUACCUCUGUUAAAUCCACUCCAAGAGUUAAAAAGGGUUUGUUGUGGUGCUAGGUGGCUUUAUGCUGUGUAUGACGACUUGCCCAACUGACAAACACAGUGACAAACUUUGGGAAGCCCUUAUAUGAGGGCUGAGCUUUAAAUG